ACUGAAUAAUUCUAUACUNUUAUAGAACCUACAAUGUAAAGACAAGUAACAAGAACCAACUUUCUCUAUCAGUAUAAGCAUAACCAAACCAAUUAACACACGAAUAAAAUGUAACAACACACUAGAAAACCCUACAACACCCCCUGUUAACCUAAUAUGAGAAUACUCCUAGAAAGAUUAAAAAAAAAAGAAGGAACUCGGCAAACCUAGAUUCCGCCUGUUUACCAAAAACAUCGCCUCUUGCAAAAUAUAAGAGGUCCUGUCUGCCCAGUGACCCUGUUCAACGGCCACGGUAUCCUGACCGUGCAAAGGUAGCGUAAUCACUUGUUUUCUAAUUAAAGACCUGUAUGAAAGACCACACGAGAGUCGCACUGUCUCCUCUCUUCAAUCAGUGAAACUAAUCUCCUCGUGCAAAAGCGAGUAUCACCCUAUAAGACGAAAAGACCCUGUGGAGCUUCAAACAUUAAACAUCUAUCAUUACUACCCCUGCAUCCACCCAUAUCCUAUAGUAUGAUUGUAAGUUUUUGGUUGGGGUGACCAUGGAGAAAAACCUAACCUCCAAGAUGAACCAGAAUUCUCUUAAAUGUUGAGCUACACCUCUAAAUAUCAGAAUACUGACAUAAUUGACCCUUCUUGAUCAACGAACCAAGCUACCCCAGGGAUAACAGCGCAAUCUACUUUAAGAGCACAUAUCGACAAGUAGGCUUACGACCUCGAUGUUGGAUCAGGGUAUCCCAGUGGC
rnacentral:rRNA from 1 species